AAAACCUUAAUUAUUUUUUUCUCUCAAAUUUUUACUCAUCUUUUCUCCAUCCACAUGAAAUCUUUCCCUAACUUCAAACUUUCUCACCCAAAAUUUCCAUCCACAAAAGCCACGUCUGCCCACCACGCCCAACAUCUGACGACCCAUCUACCCCCUUGUUUUCGUCGCUGCCACCCUUCCUUCGUCUCUUGUUUUUCUCUUUUCGUCCUUGCACGCACGCUCGCCGUUGGAAGCAAUUAUUCCCUCUUAUUCACACAACUCACAUCUCCUGCUCGCCGCCCCAUUUGCCUCUACCCUUCAAUUGAAUGCUUAUCAAUGGAGACUACCCCUUCUUAAGGCUUGUCUGGAUACAAUAUGGGAAGAAAGUUUUUCCAAGAAUGAAGCCUUUUGUAGUACAAUAAAGGAUGCAUUUUAGCAUCUUAUUAAUCUUCGUUUCAAGUACCACUCUCUUGAUGUUUGUUUUCUUGUUUUAUUUUUAGAGUUUUUCCAUUUAAUUGUUGUAGGUAAUUAAAAUAAGAGGUGAACAUGCAUUUUUAAACUGCAAGUUUAUUGAAAUAAUAACCUUGUAAUAUUAAAGAAAUGAUGAUACAAAUGACAAAGAAGAAGACGUUUAGUUCUUUAUUGGGUUUUUGGAACUCAGGUUGAGAAGGCCAUAGUGAUUCAGACCUUCUAGACAGCAACAACAAAUCAAGGUAUACGGAAGUAGAAGAAGAAGGGUAAAUGAAAGUAGUGAUACAUAUGUAACAUGCUAUCAUGAGGAUACCACCAUUGCAAAUAAAUUUGAUUCAAUCUGUGGAGAAUCCCAAAUUGGAGGAGAAAUUGACUCAAUGUGUUGGUUGAUGAAAUGUUGAACUAGAUGAGGUUUUUGCUGUUUAUUUUUUUUUUUUUAAGAAUUCAUAAGAUGUUGCUAUAGCUGAAAUUUUGAGCUGAAUGGUUGAUUACUGAAAUUUUCUUUUGGAAU